rnacentral:rRNA from 1 species
AGCGAACGCUGGCGGCAUGCCUAACACAUGCAAGUCGCACGGGGGGGCUUCGGCCUCCCAGUGGCGGACGGGUGAGGAACGCGUAGGGACCUGUCGAGGGGUGGGGGAUAACCGCGGGAAACUGCGGCUAAUACCGCAUGACGCCGCGGCGUGACAGCCGGGGCCAAAGGCGAAAGCCGCCCGCCGAGGGGCCUGCGUCCGAUUAGCUGGUUGGCGGGGUAGCGGCCCACCAAGGCGUCGAUCGGUAGCUGGUCUGAGAGGGUGAUCAGCCACACCGGGACUGAGACACGGCCCGGACUCCUACGGGAGGCAGCGGUGGGGAAUAUUGGACAAUGGGCGCAAGCCUGAUCCAGCAAUGCCGCGUGGGUGAAGAAGGUCUUCGGAUUGUAAAGCCCUUUCGGCGGGGACGAUGGUGACGGUACCCGCAGAAGAAGCCCCGGCUAACUUCGUG